AACCAGCACCUCAAGUGGUCAGGAGGAUUAUUGGGCCUAAAGCAUCCGUAGCCGGCUCUGUAAGUUUUCGGUUAAAUCCAUGUGCUCAACGCAUGGGCCGCCGAAAAUACUGCAUAGCUAGGGAGUGGGAGAGGUAGACGGUACUCGGUAGGAAGGGGUAAAAUCCUUUGAUCUAUCGAUGACCACCUGUGGCGAAGGCGGUCUACCAGAACACGUUCGACGGUGAGGGAUGAAAGCUGGGGGAGCAAACCGG
rnacentral:rRNA from 1 species